GAUGAACGCUGGCGGCGUGCCUAAUACAUGCAAGUCGAGCGAACGGACGAGAAGCUUGCUUUUCUGAUGUUAGCGGCGGACGGGUGAGUAACACGUGGAUAACCUACCUAUAAGACUGGGAUAACUUCGGGAAACCGGAGCUAAUACCGGAUAAUAUUUUGAACCGCAUGGUUCAAAAGUGAAAGACGGUCUUGCUGUCACUUAUAGAUGGAUCCGCGCUGCAUUAGCUAGUUGGUAAGGUAACGGCUUACCAAGGCAACGAUGCAUAGCCGACCUGAGAGAGUGAUCGGCCACACUGGAACGGGGACACGGACCAGACUCCUACGGGAGGCAGCAGUAGGGAAUCUGCCGCAAUGGGCGAAAGCCUGACGGAGCAACGCCGCGUGAGUGAUGAAGGUCUUCGGAUCGUAAAACUCUGUUAUUAGGGAAGAACAUAUGUGUAAGUAACUGUGCACAUCUUGACGGUACCUAAUCAGAAAGCCACGGCUAACUACGUG
rnacentral:rRNA from 1 species